rnacentral:rRNA from 1 species
AGGUGCGAUCGUACCAACAUUAAUGCAUCGGAUCCCAUAAGAAUUCUGCAGUUAAGUGUACUUGGACAAGAGUAGUACUAAGUUGGGUGACCACUUGGGAAGUCCUCUUGUUGCACCCA